rnacentral:misc_RNA from 1 species
AUCUGGCAACACCCAUUGCCAUGGUGACCAAAAUCAGGUUAGUUUUUUCGAAUAAACAAGAACAAAUCAACUUUCAUCACUUUUCCCCUUGAAAUAAUCGGGAGUGGUUUUAUACGAUUUCUAAAAAUGAGCAAUUCAUUCAGGCCCAGAAGUGGUUAUUCAAACCCUGACAGGUACAGCGCUGCGCUGCCUGUUAUGAAAAUGCGAUUGGAAAACGAAAUUAUUCGUAAACGUGAAGCAGAAACUCGUCGAAGUGAAACGGCUCGAUCGAAUGACAGGUAUUUUCAAAAUUGCAAUCUACAAAACGAGAAGUUUGACGAUUGGACGUCCCCAAGAAGUGCCCAAUUAAGCCACCGUCAAUCAAAAAUACGUGAAACAGAAAUUGAUGUGGAAACUCGUAGGAAAAAACUUAAGAAACUGUAUCAAGGAGACAGAUUAAAUGAAGAACAAGCAUUGAAAAAAAUUAAACAAGAAGAAGAAAACCAGAAGUGGGAAAAUAUGAAGGAUAAAGUGCAGCAUUUUAGGCAUUCAAAAAGUGUAAAGCUGAAUGAGUUUGUCGAGAACAGGGAGCAUGAACAGUGGAAAUCUACUAGUGCUUCAUUCAGGGCAUUUGAAUCUGAGUUGAAGAAACAGCAACAACAAGAAAUGUGGACAAUUCAACUGCAGCAGAGAGAAGAAGAGAAGCUAAGAUUACUGGAAGAAAAGAAAAGAGAAGCUGUCCAAAUGGAACGCUUGGUUCAGGAAGAAAGGAAAAGAGAAGAAAUAGAACAGAAGAUGGAAUUACAAAAGAAACAGCAAUGGAGAAAGGAUCUAGAUGAGCAAGUUGAAUUGUUGAGGUCGAAGGAUUUUGAGGCAAAUGAAAAACGACGAGAGCACGAUAAACUAAUGGCAGACGCUGCUGCAUUGGAGGCUAUCAAGGAAGAAAUGCAAAAGAAAGAAGAAGAAAGAGCAAAACGACAACAGAACGGGGAGUUCCUUACCAAGCAACAUUUAGCGAAGUUAAGGCAACGGUCUAAAGAAGUGGCCGCUGAUUUGGAAAAAGAAAUGAGCUUUGCCGAGAAACUUUUCCCAAAUGAAAGUGAUUCUGCUUUAGAAAAAGAAAAAACACGUCAAGACAUUCAACGAUUUUUACAACUCGUUGAAAACCAUCGUCGAAUCGAAAAAGAACGCCUGCAGCAGAGCGAGUUUUUAUUCCAGGAGGAGGCUAAGCGAAUGUGGGAAAAACGGGAAUUAGAGUGGGAAGCCGAAAGGUUGGCUCGAAAAAAAUUAAUUGAAGAGGUGAUAGCCAUUCAGGAGAAGCAGAUUGACCAAAAAAUAAUCGCUGCACGACAAGAAAGACAGCAACUGCUGCGCGAUCGAGAAGAGCUGGUUCAUUCACUCGAGAGCUAUCAUAAUCAAGCAAAGAAGAAAGAAAUGGAAAAUAAAGCUAAACAGUUUCAAACGAAAGUAGAUCUUCAGGCUCAAAUUGAUCACAAACAGCAAAGAGAAGAAGAGUUUAAUCAUCUGGAACGGCAGAAGCGCAAACACCAAGAGCUCAUGGAAGCUGCUCACAACGAAAAACAUUGGAAUAUAGCCAUGGACAAAUUGAGACUUUAAAGCGUAAAGUUGACGCACAUUUCUUGUCAUCAAAAUGAUUCAUAUCUCGGCUCUAAUUUUCUCGAAAUAUAUGGAGCGAUCGCAGAAUGCCAGUUUA